GUUUCCUGACUGAAGUAGGGUGAGAUCAGGGCUCCUGUGAUCAUGUGCUCCAGCCUCAGCAUGAAAACUCUACUUUGGUUCUAUCUCCUUGUGUGCUGUGUAGCUGCACAGAGUUUCACAGAGAAGUCGGUACAUCUGGGACAGAAUGUGACUCUCAAGUGUGAAGUGUCUGAAAGUGAUGUGUACUGGUACUUGAUGAAGCCGUCAGAACCUCCAGUGUUUAUAUUACGCUCUUACUCAAUGACGAUGCAGACUCCAGAUUACAGUAACAUGACCCUCAGAAAGACUUUCUCACUAAAGCUCAAAGGCGCUUUAUAUAUACACAGGAUCAGUACUAAUGAAUUAGGUGUGUAUUAUUGUUUAGAAACAGCUUUACCUGCCAAGAUGAGCAGAGGAAUCAGACUUUACAUCCAGAACAACUCAACUGAGAAUCUGAAUAAAUGUGACCAGCAAUUCCCGAUUCUCAUCAGAUCAGUAAUUAUGAAUUGUGCUCUGGCUGUUGUAGCUACAGUUUUUACAGUUCUUUACUGCAGAACACUUCCAAAACCUCGAGCACAACCUCCAGUCCCUGCAGCUGCAUCAGGACGUUCCCAAUGUUGUGUACUCUGAGGUGCAGCACACGGUGAUGAACAGACCCGUCAGGACAAGUGACCACGACACCACAUACGCUCGUAUAAGGCCCUCAAACCCGUGACCUGGAAUGACCCCACACAGCUCUUUUGCGACUUUGUGACUCCCAAAUGAGGCGCAAAUAAGUCGUGUGUUUAUUUAGAUGAAAUGAUGAUUUUUUUUAGGGAUUUCUACAUG